rnacentral:rRNA from 1 species
CCUACGGGGCGCAGCAGUAGGGAAUCUUCCACAAUGGGCGAAAGCCUGAUGGAGCAACGCCGCGUGGGUGAAGAAGGUCUUCGGAUCGUAAAACCCUGUUGUUAGAGAAGAAAGUGCGUGAGAGUAACUGUUCACGUUUCGACGGUGUCUAACCAGAAAGCCACGGCUAACUACGUGCCAGCAGCCGCGGUAAUACGUAGGUGGCAAGCGUUAUCCGGAUUUAUUGGGCGUAAAGGGACCGCAGGCGGGCGUUUAAGUCUGAUGGGAAAGCCUUCGGCUUAACCGGAGUAGUGCAUUGGAAACUGGGAGACUUGAGUGCAGAAGAGGAGAGUGGAACUCCAUGUGUAGCGGUGAAAUGCGUAGAUAUAUGGAAGAACACCAGUGGCGAAAGCGGCUCUCUGGUCUGUAACUGACGCUGAGGUUCGAAAGCGUGGGUAGCAAACAGGAUUAGAUACCCCGUAGUC